GCAAGUGUACAUAUUUUUGUGCUCAAAGGAGAGAUAAAAUUGUACAACCUGAUCUUUAAUUGGGAUGAGAUUAAAAUAAUGAUGGAAUUCUGAGAAAGACUCAUUGACCUUCAGACAAACACUUUAUCUCCACGUCAUCGUGGUAGAACCUGCUGCCAUCCAGUGAAGUUGAAUGGUGGAGGAUUCAGGAUACAUAGUAUUUAUCUAUACAGUAAAGCACAGUAAAAUGACAGAAUGCACCAUGACAGGAUGUGGCGGCAGACAUCAGUUCAGAUGGGUGUGAACAGAGACUGGAGAAACCGGCACAACAGUGCUGUCAGUGGUUACUAACCAUGGUGGUUAUACACUGCUACCCUUCACAACAACCCUAAGAGGUAGAUACAGUUUUUGGAUGAAGGUCAAUGAAUACAUUUCGAGGGUGAAAGAAGAAAGUUUUAAACCUGCCCUCCCCCCUUGUCCAGCAUGCUAAUAUAUGCAAAUAUUACACAACCCAGCAUGUGUGUGUGUUUCAAUUCAUGCUUAAUCUGCUGUGUGCAAACUCACAAAAACUCCACAGAAGUGGAACUUGUACUCCAGCAUUCCUCUUGGGACUGUGUCAGCCGAGCGGUAACUAGCAAGCAGCACCAUCUUCCCCUCACUUUACCUUUAAGGCAUGGGUGUGCUCCCCCUUCAAGAAAAAGAAGGAAGAGAAUAGUGGUGGCCAGCCAGAAAAGGGAGGAAAAGGUUAUUAUUCCAAGAAGAGGACGGUGAAUAAGGUUUAUUUUCUUAACAUCCACUAAUAAGUUCACCUCGUGAUUUCAGUGGGCCCUGAGGCAAACCCCUGAUUGUUCUGCCCUAGUUACAGCUCCACUUCCUAGUAUCCAACAGCCUAGAUUUUGCUCUGUCACCAACAUCUUUCAGCCCUCCAGACGCACACAACCCCGUAAGUUUAACAACACCAACAUAUUUACUGGAA
rnacentral:lncRNA from 1 species